rnacentral:rRNA from 1 species
AACGAACGCUGGCGGCAGGCUUAACACAUGCAAGUCGAACGGGUGUAGCAAUACAUCAGUGGCAGACGGGUGAGUAACACGUGGGAACCUUCCUAGGGGUACGGAACAACUCAGGGAAACUUGAGCUAAUACCGUAUACGUCCGUAAGGAGAAAGAUUCAUCGCCCCUAGACGGGCCCGCGUCGGAUUAGGUAGUUGGUGGGUAACGGCCUACCAAGCCUACGAUCCGUAGCUGAUCUGAGAGGANGAUCAGCCACACUGGGACUGAGACACGGCCCAGACUCCUACGGGAGGCAGCAGUGGGGAAUCUUGGACAAUGGGCGCAAGCCUGAUCCAGCCAUGCCGCGUGAGUGAAGAAGGCCUUAGGGUUGUAAAGCUCUUUUACCAGGGACGAUAAUGACGGU